UAAAAGUCGUAACAAGGUUUCCGUAGGUGAACCUGCGGAAGGAUCAUUACAGAAUGAAAAGUGCUUAACUGCAUUUUUUCUUACACAUGUGUUUUUCUUUUUUUGAAAACUUUGCUUUGGUAGGCCUUCUAUAUGGGGCCUGCCAGAGAUUAAACUCAACCAAAUUUUAUUUAAUGUCAACCGAUUAUUUAAUAGUCAAAACUUUCAACAACGGAUCUCUUGGUUCUCGCAUCGAUGAAGAACGCAGCGAAAUGCGAUAAGUAAUAUGAAUUGCAGAUAUUCGUGAAUCAUCGAAUCUUUGAACGCACAUUGCGCCCUUUGGUAUUCCAAAGGGCAUGCCUGUUUGAGCGUCAUUUCUCCCUCAAACCCUCGGGUUUGGUGUUGAGCGAUACGCUGGGUUUGCUUGAAAGAAAGGCGGAGUAUAAACUAAUGGAUAGGUUUUUUCCACUCAUUGGUACAAACUCCAAAACUUCUUCCAAAUUCGACCUCAAAUCAGGUAGGACUACCCGCUGAACUUAAGCAUAUCAAUAAGCGGAGGA
rnacentral:rRNA from 1 species